rnacentral:rRNA from 1 species
AUUGAACGCUGGCGGCAGGCCUAACACAUGCAAGUCGAGCGGAUGAAGGGAGCUUGCUCCUGGAUUCAGCGGCGGACGGGUGAGUAAUGCCUAGGAAUCUGCCUGGUAGUGGGGGAUAACGUCCGGAAACGGGCGCUAAUACCGCAUACGUCCUGAGGGAGAAAGUGGGGGAUCUUCGGACCUCACGCUAUCAGAUGAGCCUAGGUCGGAUUAGCUAGUUGGUGGGGUAAAGGCCUACCAAGGCGACGAUCCGUAACUGGUCUGAGAGGAUGAUCAGUCACACUGGAACUGAGACACGGUCCAGACUCCUACGGGAGGAAGCAGUGGGGAAUAUUGGACGAUGGGCGAAAGCCUGAUCCAGCCAUGCCGCGUGUGUGAAGAAGGUCUUCGGAUUGUAAAGCACUUUAAGUUGGGAGGAAGGGCAGUAAGUUAAUACCUUGCUGUUUUGACGUUACCAACAGAAUAAGCACCGGCUAACUUCGUG